GAGGAGGAGAAGGAGGAGGAAUAGGACUAGGAGGAGGAUCAGCAGCAGCAUUGGAUCCAGGAGGAGGACGAGGGGGCUUACCACCUCGUUUGGUGUGUCCAUACUGCCAACAGAAAUGUUUCUGCAAAUGUGCUUGCAGUGUCUGCGUAAAUAAAAUUUGUGACAAACCGUUUCGCAAGGAAUGUGGCUGCGCGUGAUUGAGAGAAUGAUGAAAUUCUGAAAGGACACAUGAGUUUGCUCUAUCGACACUGUAAACAAUCCUAACACUACUUAUUGUAGAUGAUUUUAUGUUCAAUAUUAGAGAUUCUACAUCUUACUAUGUAAUUAUUAUUCAAUAUUUUUUAUCUGUUUCAAAUUA